rnacentral:rRNA from 1 species
AGAGUUUGAUCCUGGCUCAGAUUGAACGCUGGCGGCAUGCCUUACACAUGCAAGUCGAACGGCAGCACGGGGGCAACCCUGGUGGCGAGUGGCGAACGGGUGAGUAAUACAUCGGAACGUGUCCUGUAGUGGGGGAUAGCCCGGCGAAAGCCGGAUUAAUACCGCAUACGCUCUACGGAGGAAAGGGGGGGAUCUUAGGACCUCUCGCUACAGGGGCGGCCGAUGGCAGAUUAGCUAGUUGGUGGGGUAAAGGCCUACCAAGGCGACGAUCUGUAGCUGGUCUGAGAGGACGACCAGCCACACUGGGACUGAGACACGGCCCAGACUCCUACGGGAGGCAGCAGUGGGGAAUUUUGGACAAUGGGCGCAAGCCUGAUCCAGCAAUGCCGCGUGUGUGAAGAAGGCCUUCGGGUUGUAAAGCACUUUUGUCCGGAAAG